GAACAAGAAGAAAGGUAAUCUGAAACAUCAUGGGGAAAAUCGAUCCAUUCACAUAUCUCUUUCUCAAAAAGCAUUUCCCAGCAGACAAUAAAUGUCCAUAUUCACCAGUUUGUCCUGUAUGAUGAAUUUGAACAGAGGUCAUAUUCUCAAUUCAAGUAGUGCAAGAAAGUACAGGAAGAAGAGGAGAUGCGAGCUAAAGGGCUUUAAAAACCCUGUGUGAAAAACGCC